CUCAACACAAGUGGAGAAGAAGAAGAGAAGAGGAAACAGUCAUCCAACUAGCCUCUUGUGGCUGUGAGGAGUUGGGAAGUGUGCAGGAAGGGGCCUUUAGGCUCUGCCUCCUUGAAGGGCCUUAUCUGCUUAAGGCCAAAGGGUCAGUCUCUCCACUGACAACAAAGGGUUAACAUUUCACAGCAGGCUGCAUCUGCUCCCUCAAACAUAGAACUUUACACCAUCUGCUCAGGCAGAUUGGUUCAAUAAAAUCAUUUACAGGAACAAGAAUCGAAGUGACAAAUCCUUAAACAGCAGAUUCAACUGCGGACUUUAAAAUCACAAAUGCGGCGAUUUGUGAUCACGAAUUUUGUCUUAAUUCAUUCAAACAACAACCUCCCACUGUUACAGUGGUUUCCUGUGACAGGUAGUUAAUCUGUCAGGGGAAAGGAGGAAAUCUGAAUCCCAUAUAGUUACUAGAACUUCGUAGCAGACUAUAGAGACAAGAAUCAAAGUGACAAAUCCCUCAACAGCAGAUUCAACUGCAGACUUUAAAAUCACAAAUGUGGCGAUUUGUGAACACAAAUUUUGUCUGAAUUCAAUCAAACAACAACCUCCCACUGUUACAGUGGUUUCCUGUGACAGGUAGCUAAUCUGUCAGGGGAAAGGAGGAAAUCUGAAUCCCAUAUAGUUACUAGAACCUCGUAGCCGACUACAGAGACUUCAGGGGCUUGAAACCACAGCUCGGAGCAUCGCGAACACUGGGUUCAGCCAAAGGCCUUAAAUACAAGCGUACGGCGACGCCACAAUCGUGCACUUAAAUAUUGGACAGUCUAGACAGAGCAGAGGAGUCAGUCUCACUGCUACUCAGAACAACAUUUCACGCUGUCCAGCUCAAACACAGACUACAGGCAUGUAGUACAAGAGUGUGUGAAACACAGAGCAUAAAGGUUUUAUGCAUAGAUCAUGAAAACAUCAGAACUUAGUCAAGCAACUUCAGCAAGCAUAGCAUUGAUUGUGAUUAAGUCAAAAUAGCCUGGAAAUAAGUUUCUCGCAUCAAUUUGGAAGGCUAAGUUUUAGGUUGUCUGUUAGUAUCCAGAAGUUUUGUUUGAAACGCCUCACGCAGGGGCUCCAAAAUAUAUGUAGUGAUUUGAAAUGAGCCUCAUACGGUCGCACCAAAAUAUAUGUAGCGAUUUGAAAUGAGCCUCACAAGGCCGCACCAAAAUAAUACUUGGCGAUUGGAAUUUAUAAUAAAUGUCUGAAGAUUAAUAAUCUCAAAUUAUGACAUUUAUGCACUCGUUGAAAGGGGCACCACCCACCCUUAAUGGUGGGAAAAUAAAGAAAACAAAAGUUUAAUUCAGAAAUCAAACAUCAAGUCAGUUUUAAUUAAUCAGUCUUAAUUAAUCAGUCUUAAUUAAUCAGUCUCAUAUCUUAAGUCGAAAUUCUAAUUUCAGGGACUCCACUUCUGGAAGAACACUAACAGACAGGAACUUAGAAAAAUAAUGAUCUGUUUAUUACAGGAUAAAUGAUGGUACAACACACAUGCAAUAAAUGAUGAUAAGAUAAUGAAGAUAAAUAAUAAUAGGUGAAUAAAUAAAGAUUCUGAGUCAGGCUAAGAGCACUAAAGUUAAUGAUAGUGAGUGAAUAUGCGCUAACAUAUUAACCUACACUAACUUUGGUGUCGAGAUAAACUCGGAUGUGGAUUUGGAGGAAUCUAAGAUCACCAG